rnacentral:lncRNA from 1 species
CUGUGCUCAUCCCAUAAGACACGGUAGUAAGUGGGCUUGCUUGUUCCAAGGCUUCCGUAGUGGCUACAAAGGUAAAAAUCAAACUCAAAGGGGUGCACAAUUAUUGUGUCCACAACUGUUCCCGGUGGCACAUUGCCACUGGAGGUUCCAUCCAUCCUACCCUUAGGAAAUAGACGAGUCUGAUGUCGUUUCUGGGCCACAAUAAGUGUGAUAGUUGGUUGGUAAUCCAUUGAUCUGAAUGCCAUCUUUAGUGGUACCAACUCUUCACUGAGAACCAUAUCGAACUGGCCCUCGCUUACUCCAUCUCGAAACACUACAAUCUUUUGUGGCCUAACUUUAUUCAACUGAACAUAAUAUUUAAAAAUCUCCAAGCACAUGUCAGCAAAAUUCAGAAUUUUCUCUGUCCUAUGACGCUGGGGGCGCACCCUCGCCACAUAUCUGUUCGCAGCAGGCCAAUUUACAGUGGCAACAACAGCUGCUAUAGAUGGGCUAGUUUUAUCUUUUGCACGAGGAUGAUUAACAUCUGCACCUAAAAACAUAACAUGGUCUUCACCGUUGAAGUAAGGUAGCCUGUCAAUGAGCUCUGCAUUGCUGCCUCCAAGCUUUGCAUUGAUCUUGAGUGCAAGAUUGGCAAGAUAUUGAUCUUGACCUUUACCUUUGUUGGCAUUCGUGGACAAACAACACUGAGUCACCACACCAACUUUAGUAUCAGAAAUCCACUUGAGAUACUUGUAACCGUCAUCCUUCCGAGACAUUGCACAAAUAAGAAUCUGCAGAUGACCUUUGCCAAUUUUAUAAGCCCUUGAAGUAAUCCCUUCAAGGAGUUCAUGAAGCCCUCCAACAUUAGAGAAUAGAUGCAUUGAAGCAGAUUGACAUAAGACAGGCCCCUCCAUGCUCAUGCCUAGAGUCUUGCACCGAGCGAUAAUUUUAUCAAUAAAUUGGUCUUGAUUCAGUCUAUCAUAUCGUUCAGAAGCGCUGAAGUCAACUACAGCCCAUCGAUCGAUUCGUGUUCCUUCCACAACAGCUCUUCCUCCAACAAGAUUCCAGUGACAUUUCUCAUUAUCAACGGUUAUCCUUGACGCCUUUCCACCAAGAGCACCUAGCUUCAAUUCCGGUGGGCCAAGGACUCGUCCUACCACAUUGGUCAUGUUUGUAUUAACAUCAAUACCAAAGUUACGAGUGAUCUCCCCUCUGGCAAAGAAAUUGUGAAAAUUAGGAUUAAGCCAAAUUACAGUGGCAUACUAUUUACUCCAUCAGUCAGCAUAUAUACAUUUGACUUUAGCAUAAAAUGUAUAGGUUUACAAAAUUCAAUGUCAACAAUAAUGUGAUCAACCAUGAAUGAUGCAGAUUGUCUAGAAAAGCUAAGCAGAAAAAAGUACAGUAUUUUCACGCAGAAAAACUUCAGACUAAAAUACUUAUGAAUCAAUCAGCUUUAAAAUGAGAUCAUUAUGAACUCAAAAAGAAGGAUAUAAGGGAAGAGAACUAUUUUUCACAACAAUUGUUUCCCUAAUAUUUUAAAAAAAUAAAAAAAUUAAAGACACUAAUCUAUAACCCAAUGAUUAAACCAUCCAAAAUCAGUUUAUGCAAGAAUUGAACUUGUACAGAAAUUUCUGAAUUCUCAUAUAUAGAAAACAAAAAGUUGCAGUUACAUACCCGCAUGGUCCAAUUCUUGACCGUACCAUUUGAGAUAUCAUGCUCUGUCUAUCCCCUGGCUUAGGCAGUGACAUAUUCUUCAAAAAUAAUCCAGGAUCUCUAUCCAGAUACUCUUUUGGAUAUAUCUGCCCUUCAACUAAGACACAGAACUCCAUAGGCACAUAGUUUUUUUUAUUAUUUCUUCCUAAAUCUAAGCAAGGAAUAUCUUUGUACAUAAUAUCCUUGCCAUACUUUUCCCUAAAAUAAUCAACAAGUCUGACUUCUCUUGGUGGAUCCCUGCCCUCUGGGUCCGCAAGAGUGAAUGAAAGACACCGUGUGGUCUCCCUAGUCAACCCAGCAAUACUGUACUUUUGUUUGGUCUGACGGUGAAUCACUAUAACUUUCAAGCCUUCCAAUGCAUCCUCAACUUCCCUCCAAUCUCUAAAAUGAUUCACAUCAAAAUUAAUGUGCUCCGCCAAAAAAUCUAUAACCGGCAAACGCUUACGAAAUGCCAAAACAGAGUAGUCCAAACACGACACCAAACCCUGGGAGGUGGGCUUCAGGCCAUGUUCAAACCCUCUAGAUGCUGUGAGGCCAUACCCAAGGUAAUCAUCUGGAAGAGGUUCAACAGGGUGGAAACUUCGACCAACAGAAAUCAUACACCGAGUAGGAUUCUCCUUCAUUACUAUAUCGAUUGCUUGUAAUAUAUCACGGGGAAUGGAAAAGAGAUUCCCCUUCAAGUACUCGUUCAACUUGCAAAGCUUCAGCUCAUUCACAAGCUUUAAGGUCAAUAUGUAAGUACGAUACUUCAUGUCUUCUCCUUCUAGGAACUUCACAUUAAAUUUACCAGUUGGCAAUUCAAUAGCACUGAAUAUAUUCUUCUCACCAUCAUAAGCGGUCAUCGACAGAGGAAACUGAUCAGGGUAGUCCUCGCACAACUUGUUCCUGACAAUAGCCAAAACAGUCUUGGACAAUUUCACAGGCCGACCAUGAUUGGGGCCUAUGUCAGGUUUAACAUCAAUGUCAUAAUGUCUAAUGAUACUCUCAGGAGAAAAAUUGACUAGAAAAUGGUUGACGAAAAUGUUGACAGUUCGGAUGGCAAGUGUGCCACCUCUAUCUGGGCGUUUAAUUGGAGUAUAUCUGGUUGCAUUUUGUGAAGAUGAAGCCACCGGCUCCGAGAUCUUCAAUUUUUGAAUUUCUGGAACAAUAAAAUCAGCAAUCAAUACAUAAAAUCACUCCUGACAAAUAAUCUAAUUCCAUUUACACUCAUUUUGGUGCAAUUACAUGCUCCUAGUCCUUGAAAACAGUUCCAUUUCCCUUUCUUAAGAAUUAAGAACAAAUUCGAUAGGAACGUCAAUAUUAUCACAAACCACAAGUUAAGAAAUACAUACAAUAUCAUAAUACAUUGUAUUUUAAACACAGAUAAAAGUGACAAUUUUUUUUUUUGUUUAUUUAAAUGAAGAUGUCCAAAAAGAAAAAAAGAAAUCAAUCUGAAAGAAAAAGAACCACUUUUCCACAGAAUUCAAAAGAGAAUGAAUCAUACCGCCAACAGGAGGUCGAACAACCGGUGCAGCAGAAGUGCCGGGCGGAGACUGAGGCCGUGGCUGUGGCGACGGAGCUCUGACGGCAGGAGACAUCGGUCCAGACCACGGUCUCACCGGCGGGGAAGAACUGCCGUGUCCCGGGGACGGAGCCGACCUCCGCCAUUGAGGCUGCUGAGGUCGAGGCUGAUGAUCACGAAAGUCUCCACCGCCGGUUCUUCCGCCUCUGGAACCGCCGUCUCUUCCGCCUCUUCCGCGGCCUCUUCCUCUGUAGCCUUCUCUCUCCAUUGGACUUCAAUUCGGGAACAAAAUCAAUCAAAUCACGAGUUACUACGCCGUCUCAACUCAGCACUAAACACUUCUUACCAAUUACCAAACAAUAAAAAUGAAUAAUUAAGACCAAAGCGCGCAGAAAGUGUAUGUCAGAAUUCUACGAUCUUACAUUUUAUAGUACAGUCUCUACCUGAAUUCACCUAAAUGUCCCUCGCGUGCAAUUCCUUACUUGCUGCUUACGGAUUCUGAAGAGCCUUAAUUGGGUAAACAAACUGUCAUUUCUUUUUCUUUUUUUAAACUGAAAGUUACAAAAAGAAGUAACAAAGAAGCAGCAGCAACGAGUAAGAAGAGAUUGGAUUUGGAAUUGGAAUAUUAGCAAUUCCAGAAGCUUCGAUGAAUCCAUAUAUCCACGGGAACUUUCCAGGAAAACAGUGGAAAUUUUGAGGGGAUUCUCAUACUUCUCUUUGGAAGCUAAGUUCGUGCAUGUCUGAUAUCCCGAUCCUUUCAUUUUAUUUUUUUUAAUUAAUUUAAGUGAUUUUGUAUUUAAAAACAAAUUAAAGGUGUUAUUUAUAUAAUAUAUACUUAUCUUAUAAAUCAAACAACUUCUGAAGAAAGAUUUUAUGAUUGAAAGAACUUGCGGAGAAAGAAAUAAAAUAAAAACAAACGCCUUCUUUUCCGCGGGAUGUUGUUUAAAUUCAGCCCAUCAAAGAAGGGAAUGUUUAGUUUAUAUGGGACGGAAAGCUGACAUCUUUUGACGUCAGCAGACUAAACCCAAAGUAAAUAUUAAAACAUAAACUCUCAACUUUUUAGAGGGUCGGCUGUGUUGGUACUGUUGUAAGCUUUUGUAACAUUUCAUUGAGUCCCAUGUAUCCAAUUUUACUUAUAAUUUAUGAAAAAGUAUUAUGAUACUUUUUGCUUACCUACACAAUCAAAAUUUAAUUUAUUAUCUAUUUUUAUUUAUUUAUUUAUUAAUUUUUGUAAGUAUUAGAAUAUUGUAAAAUUUUAUUAAGUCCUUACACUCUAUUUUAUUUACAGUUCAUUUAUGAGUAUUAAAAUUUAAAAAGACAAAAUUACCCUUAAACUUGUUAAAAAUAAUAAAAUUCUAAAGGUUUCAUAUAUUUUUUUUUCUCGUUUCUCAUUCUCCUCUCUCACUCUCUCACUCUCUCUCUCUCUCUCUCUCUCUGAUGAUGAGUCUAAUGGUGACUUCGAUCAUUGACAGAAGUUGUUGAACGACCUUGAUUGUUUGGUUCUUGUGUUGGCUAUGGAAGGCGGGUGGUGGUAUUUUGGUUUGCAGAGGCUGAAAAUGUUGCUACUGGCAGCGGCUGGCUUAAUUGCUUUGUGGGUGUCUUUCGUAGUGACUGCGGUGGUGGUCAUAGUGGCUAAGGUUUCGAAUUUGGAAAUUUAUGAUUUAUGAUUUUUUUUUUCCAGAAUCAAUGGAUAAUUUUUUAAGCAGAAAAAAUAUAAUAAGAAGUAAAUUAAAAGAACCAUUUCUAUGAGUGCAAAUGAUGUAAAUAAUAAAAAAUGGAAUAAAAAAGUUGUCCAAAUAUAAUAAUAAAUUGAUCUUUCACUCAGUGAACUCUAUAUAACCAAAACGGCAACAAAUAGCCCGAAAGCUAGAGAUCCAAAAACGGCAAAUCUGUUCAAAACAGCAGAGUUCUCAAAUGGAGCAAGAGCAUCAGAUGGAGACAUUGAGAUUGGUGAUGGAAAAUUUGCUGGUGUCGGAGAAGAAUAAAACGGAAGAGGUGACGACGAAGAGCUGAUAGUGACUGGAGAGGGCGCGGCCGCAAGUGGAGCACUCAAGGGAGACGGUGAAGCAGCCAGCCAACGGAGUCUUCAAUGGCAAUGGCACUGCUUCUAGUGGAGUCUUCAUUGGAGACGGCACUCGAGAUUACGCCAUUACUGCAAAGCAAAGCCAUGCAGAUCAAAAUUGCAAAGCUAGAGUCAUCCAUUUUGAUUUAUUGAUUUAAAAUGGCAUCGUAGGUUUUUAAAGUGAAAAUUAACAGAGAGUUGAAGACUUAACUUGGAGUAAUGGUUUUACAAUCAUGGAUAAUUUCUUUUUACGACUUUAGUUCCCUUUAGAUUGCUUUCUAUCUAUCAACAACAUACAAAUGACAUUAUAAUGACCACAACAAUAGUUUAAAGCCUGAAAUUUUUUAUUGUAACCAUCUGAUUCGGAGAAAAGAAAAUGUGUUGGGUCGAUGAUGAAGGAAAAUUACGGCUGUCCAUUUGAAAAAACAAACAAAUUACGUAGUGGCGGAUACCACUUGGGGUGACAAUGGUUCAGUCAGUGAAGAUUAGAUUGAUGGUGUCCUUGACUAUUAGCUUGCCAUUAGUAAAAAACGAUGAUGAAGAGAAAUUGAUAGUGGAGACAGAUGGAUUCAAAUGAAUUUUUUUUUUAUUUUAUUAAUUUUUUUCCAUGAAAGGAUUAAUUAUUAUGAGAUGAUAUUGUAACGAAGAUAAUUGGUCGUAUCCUUGAAAAUUUUGUUGACGAUGAGUGAUAGAAGAAGAGCCAUCGUGAUUCCUCAAUUUUUUGUACUAAUUUAAGGGUAAUUUUAUCUUUUUAUUGAUAUUAGUGUGUUAUGAUGAUCAAUGUUUUGUGGAUGUAAAUAAAAACUCCUCUAAUACUAACAAAAAAUAAUAAAUACAAAAGAGUAGAAGGUGAUAAAUUGAAUUUUGAUAAUAUAAGUAGAAAGUAUAUAAUACUUUUUAAUAAAAUUAUCAACAAAACAGAGUACAACGAGCUCAAUGGAAUUUUACAAUAACUCAGUCACAAAAGACAAAAGUUAUUGUAAGAUACAACAGUCCCUUUUUAAAGUUACAUUUAUUUGAUUUCAUUUUGUCUUUUUAAAUAUUUUAAAUGGAAUCCAUUACUAAUAAUAAAUUUAUAGAACGUUUUUUCCCAAUUGAUAUGAAAUGAUAAAGUUCAAUAGCUAAUUAUUACAUGAUCUAAUAAGAUAAUGUCAUGUGAUAAUGUCUCAUUAAUUACUACGUUAGUAAAAAAUUGUAUUCCAACUUUAUAAAUUUAUCGUUAUUGUUAUUUAAAAAUCUUAUCAUCAUUAUGUUUUUAUCUUUGACUAUAUAAUAUCAACAACAUUAUUCAAUCAAAUAAAGGUAACCUUAAUUCAAAGCCAACUAAGGAUGAGCUAUUUUAGUCAAUCCUUCUAAGCUUGGUGCAAAUGAUAUUUUUUAAGUAGAUAUUAUAUUAUUUUAAUUAAUUUAAAAUCAUAUAUGUGUGCGUGCAAGGGCGCAGCUCAAGCCAAAUCUCUAUGGGGGCCAAAUCUAUACAUUUUGAAAUUCUUAAAGGAUAAAAUUAAAUAACAAAUAAAAGUAUUAAAAAAAAUAAGGCAAUUAUUUAAUGUAAAUAAUUAAUUAAAAGAUUGUAUUUUAAUAUAAAAAGAAAAAAAAUUACAAACCAAAAGAGUCCCCUCCCCUACAAAAUCACUAUCAAAAUCAAGAUCCCCAACAUAAAAAACGAACUCGACGUUCUUUUAUAUCUCGAAACUCAUUGAUUAUUGAUUCAAUGCUUAUUUUUUCAGCAAUUUCCCUUUCAAUGUACAUAAUCAAAGAGUCUGUAAGAAAUUCAUCCUCCAUUUUGUUGUGAAGACUUAUCUUGACUAUAUGCAUAGCUGAAAAUGACCGUUCUGAAGUUGCAGUUGACACUGGAAGAGUUAGCACAAGAACAAUUAUUCUAUAGAUAAGAGGAAAUGUUUUUGCUUUCCUUGUACUGACCAACCAUUGACUAAAGUCACAAAUGGUUGAUAAAUUUUUGAACUCUGCAUGUUGGACUACACCAUACUCAUAAUGCUCAAGUUGAUUUUUCAGAUUUAUUUUCCCAGCAUCUGUAAAGUCUGCUGGAUAAAACCCCUCAACCAACUGACAAAUUUCACCAAUUCUAAAAGACUUUCUACAUUCACGGGGAUCAAGUGCUGAACUAAGAAUAAGCAAAUCUACUGCAUGUUCAUUAAAUUGACUAUUCAAUUCUUGUAAUUGGCAAUCUAUAGCAACAUAAAAAAUAUUUACCCUGUAAUGGUCAAUAACAGUAAAAGUAUCUUCUUGAUGACGGGCUCGACCUUGUCUUGCAACAUAAGGAGCAUCCAUUUCUGGGACAUCUGUAUUUCUUGUUUCACAAAAUACUUUCACUUGAUCAAGUAAAGUAUUCCACCCAUUAUCUCUCAGUUUCUGAAUAAGUGCUUUAGUUGAUGAAACCAGAUGCAUGGCAUGUAAAAUAUCUUGAGACUUAGAUUGCAAAGCUUGGCAAAGUAUAUCAGUAGUUGCCAUAAUUUCUUUCAUCAUAUGCAAAGUAAAAACAAACUCAAAAGUUGUCAUUACCUCAUAUGCAGCAUCAGCAUCUCCCCGUUGAAAAGCAGUUGUCUCGUCUUCAAUGAUAUUAAGUAAAAUUGAACAUGUAGCAUUGAACAUUUUUAUUAAGUUAGAGACUGAUCUAAAGUGAGAAGUCCAACGAGUAUCUCCAGGCCUUAGUAAAGUAUCAAUUUGAUUAAGCCAUCUUCCACUUUCAAGCUCAUCAAUGGAGAUCAUAUACUCAAUAUCAGCAGUCUGAGCAAGCUUGAGUUCAUCAUGACGCUUGUAAGAAGCCCCAACAAUAUUCACAAUAGAAGUCAAUUUAGUAAAGAAAUGAUGAACAUGAACAACCUCAUGAGAUACUGCAACUAAAGCCAACUGUAGUCGAUGAGCUAAACAAUAAAUGUAAUAAGCAUAAGGACAAUCUUUUAAAAUCAAGGCUUGUAAGCCUUUCCAUUCACCUCGCAUGUUGCUUGCACCAUCGUAUCCUUGCCCACGAAUAUUUUGAAUAUUCAAAUUUUGAUGAGACAAUAUAGAGUGUAUUCCAUCUUUCAAGGUUGUUGCAGAAGUGUUUAAGACAUGAACAAGACCAAAAAAAGGUUAUUGAAGAAAACCAUUAUUGUCAACAAAUCUUAAAACUAUUGCCAUUUGUUCUUUUUUUGACUCAUCACGUGAUUCAUCCACAAUUAAGCAAAACUUGGCAUCUCUUAUUUCUUCACGAAUUGUCUUUUUCACUCUCAUUGAAAAGACAUGUAAAAUUUCCUUUUGGAUAUCCGGUGAUGUAUAUGAGGCAAACUUUGGUGCUUUAUCUAGUAUCACUUCUGCUACAUUUUCAUUGUUGGAACCAAAUGCUUUGAGUAAUUAAAUAAAAUUUUCACGGUUUGAUGACUUUUCACUUUCAUCAUGACCUCUAAAAGCAAAACCUUGAAAAGCAAGAUAUCUAAUCACUUCAAUUGUAGUUUUUAAUCGCAGUCUAUUGUUUACAAUUUCUUGGGAAGAGUAUCGAUUAAGUACAUGCACUAGAUGCUGAGAUUGUCUCAUCAAAUCCUCACAUGAUCUUUCAGCUUUUUUAUGAGUUGAGUUAGGAUCCUUUCCCACAUGAUUAAGGAAUGCACAAUUUUUUCCAUCUCUAACCUUCUUCCAAGAAUUAAAUCCUUCAACAGUGAAAGCAGUAUGCUUAGGCUGUGCAAAUGGUGCAUUAAAUAGAUAACAUGGUAGACAAAAGGCUGCAUCUUUUGUAGGUGAAUACUCUAACCAAGAAGGAAAAGAAUCAAACCAUGGAGAUUGAAAUCGACGAGGAUGCUUUUCUGAUCCAGAUUUUGGAUACUCUGGAAGUCUUGGUUAGUAUGGACCCGACAUAAUAUAUGCUCUUCGAAUUUCAUCUCGUUGAUUGACAUCAUAAUCCUAAAUCUGGCGGCACAAUCCUGGAUCACGCUCUACAAGCUGAGUAUCAACUUUACUUGUCUCAAUUCUUGGGGAUUUUGAAAGUUGGUUUUCAGAAUUUGGAGAAUUGACAUGUGAAAUUGGUGAAUUUUCAGAAACUGGUGGAUUAGAACUUUCUUCUAAUGUCUUCCUUUUGAAAUAUUGAUCAAUUUUAGAUGAUUUUCCCAUCUAUAUCCUCCAUACCCCUGGAAUUCAAUCAACAAGGAAAUUGUGAAAUGCAAGUUACUAAUCAAGAGAAGCGAAUUGGACAGAAUAAUUGACAAUCUAAAGCAAUAGAUAUUUGAACCAUAAAAAAAUCAAGCAGGAAAUAAAUUGAACAUAUCGUAUACUGAACUGAAAUUGAGUAAAAUCUGGAGUGCUUUCUAUAAAGAGAUUGUCCAAAUGAUUUCUGACCUGAAUAUCAAUGACAUGGUCAAACUCAUUAGUCAUUACUUGUGAACCAAACCAAAUGUCAAUAAGCUAAGUUAUAGAAUAAGUGUCAAGCAUCAGUGCCAGGCAAAAUUCAAAUAUAAUCAUUGAUGCUUAGAUCUUUGAGCCAUUGAUCAUAGCACACGUUUCUAAAAAAGCAAAAAGAAAGAAAUUAAUGCAACAGAGAUUGAUUAAACUCCAAGAAACUAGACAAGCUUGAUUUUAAUUCAAUAGAAAAAAAUCUCCAAUUGUUGAAAGCAAUACAUAAAUUACAAAUUAAAAGAUGUUAGAUAAUGAUUAAAUUUCAGGAAUAUCGUCAAGCAACUCGGCAACAACAUUCGCCCUAAUUGACAAUUUUAGUAUUUCAUUCAACUGCCUAUCAGGACCGUAGACAAGACAACUACCGACUACCGUAACAUCUAUCUCCUUUAUUAGUUCUUUCCAUCCUUAAUAAAUUUUAAGAGAAUGUGUUGGACUCACCUAAAUUCCAAGUGAAGUGCGAUUUGUGACGAGUUUUUGCCGCAACAAUUUGUUCUUGCCACAACAGUUGGCUAACCAAUUAGUAAACGUUGAUGAUCAAAUUGAUUAAUCGUAAAAAGAACGCUAUCUCUAUUGGGCUUUUCUUGUAAGUUGUAAGGCUUUUUAUUUAUUAUAAAAUUAUCUUAUGUUAGUAAUAGUAUGUGCAAAAUAUUUCUACCGGAGCCAACAUUUUAUGUUUAUUUAAUAUAUUUUUUUACUUUUAUUUAAAACUUUUAAAAAAAAAAUUAUUGGUGGGGGGCCAUGGGCCCCCAUUGCCCUUAGCACCCUCCGCCCCUGUGUGUGUGUCACAUUUGGAAACUGUGAGAAAAAACUUACAUUGGUCGGGUAUACCUUCUCAACAUACUAAAUCAAUGCAUCUGACUAGUAAUAACUCGUUAUUUAGACCAAUCAAAUGGUUUAUAAUAGAUGUUGAAGUGAUGCACCUAAUCUAUAUAAACUCUUAUGGAGAACUAUGAAUAUUACACACAUUUGAUACUAAUGCAGGCAAUUGUCAAUUGGUUUAUGUUAUUCAGUCUUGUUAUCUACAAGACUACAACAUUGGUUUUCUUUAUUUCAUUCAUUAAAAACAGUAAUUCCAUAAUACAUGGAAUAUAUGAGAAAGAUUCAUUAUCCUAGUACUGUAGGUAGCACCAUGUAUGCCAUGGUGUGUUCUAGACCUGAUAUAGCAUAUUGAGUUUGAGUUGUUAGCAGAUUAAUGAGGAAUCCAGGUAAGGAGGAUCAGCAUGGUGUUAAGUGGAUUUUAAGAUAUCUUAGAGGAGUUGUAGGGCAUGGUAUUUUAUAUGGAAGGGUCAAUGAAGCUACAACUCAAGUUUUUGGGUUUGUGGACUCAGACUUUGCAAGAAACCUUGAUAAAAGGAGAUCAAUUAUAGGCUUUGUGUCAGCUUUUUGUGGAGUUGAAGUGAGCCGAAAAGCUUCAUUACAGUCAGCAGUAACUCUCUCAGCAACUGAAGCAAAGUAUAUUGCUCUUACAAAAGCUGCUAAAAAAGCAAUAUAGCUUAAAGGCUUAGUGUAUGAACUGGGGCUUAAUCAAAAAUCAAUUUCAAUUAGCUACGAUAGCUCAAGUGCUAAACAGUUGAGUAAAAAUCCCAAAUACCAUGAGAGAACUAAGUAUAUUGAUGUGAGGAUGCACUUUAUAAGGGUGAAAUUGAUCAUGGAGUGAUAAAUGUUGUCAAUAUUUCAUCUGAAGAUAAUCCAGCAGAAAUUAACAAAAACAGUGCCAACAGUCAAGUUAAAAAACUCAUUGGACUUAGUUGGGGUUGUUAACUUGUAAGUCAAGUUAACAGAUGCUGAAGCAGUGAUGGGUGGAGUAGCAGUAGAAUUAAAUUAAGGGGGAGAUUUGUGAAGUAGUUAGUUAAAUUCUAUUACUCAAUGAUGAGGUAGCAAGCAGAGUCAGUGCGUGUGUGGGGACCAGCUGGUGGUUAAAGCUGUUACAGCUAACAAUUGUAUUCUAGUAUUGGACAUAAGCCUAAGGCGACCUGAUUAGAAGAUCAUUUUGGAUUAAAUUUUUCAUGCCUUAGAGAGUGAGAUAGAAAAUACUAUGUAGAAGAGAUUUAGUUAUGAUAUUUUAAAGUUUCAUUAUAAUCAAUAUGAACAAUAAAAGCUUCAAGCGUUGCUGGGUUCUUCAGUCAAGGAUAUAAGUACCUUGGUACCAAACAUUAUUUUACUGGGUGUUGAUUCUCUGGUUUCCUUCCUAUUACUUGUUCUUUAGAUUGUUUCUGAUUGACUCUUGAAUGUUCUUGAUCAAUUAAGUUAAUUGAGGUUUCUGGUUAAAUAAUUAAGUACUCUGAUUUCAUUACAAAAUCCAAAAUGGGUCCUUUCAUUUGAUUUUGGUUUCUCCUAACAAUCUGGCUUUGACCCUGACAUUUUCACUUCCUCUUUUGGUGUUAUUUAUUUAAUUAAAUCUCAUUUUUAACAAAAUCACAAUUUCUCACCUCUUUCUUGUGAUUUUAUUUCCUUUCUUUUUCUCCCUCUAAUUUAUUAUUAUUUUUUUGUCUGAACCACGAGAUGGUCCUGAGUAGGCCCCAACUGUGGAAGGCACCUUUAAGCCCAUACCACAACCCAUACUAAUCUCCGUUCGCACUAGGUCGGCCCGUAAGGGGUAAAGUGCUGGCCAAAGUAGUGACUCCAUAUGAGAGCGGGGCUUGAACCCAUAACCUCUCUUAAGGAGUGAGAGUGCCGAACCACUCACACCAACCAACCCAUACCACAACUCAGACUAAUCUCCGCUCGCACCGGGUCGGCCCGUAAGGGGUAAAGUACUGGCCAAAGUAGUGACUCCAUACGAGAGCGGGGCUUGAACUCCUGACCUCUCUUAACGAGUGAGAGUGCCGAACCACUCACACCAACCAACUUUAGUAUUUAUUUUUAUAAAAUAUAUUAAUGUGGACAAGUAGUUUUCAUUUAUUAUUUGUUUAAUAUGUAUUUCGUUAUUUACAUUAGCUUUAACUUUUCUUGGUUGUCAUGAUUAUGUAAGGUUGGCUGGUUUGGUCUUGUUUAGACUGAAUCUUGCAUUAUUUAUUGGAUUUUCAGCAAGUGAUUAAAUUUCUGGGUAUGUGCAAGCUUUUCUUCUGACUGAAUCGGAUCGUUUGAGCACAGAGUUGUUAUGGAAAAGCUGUAAACUAUGUUUGGGUUGGAAAUAUUUGAAUGGAUUUGUUAUUUAAUUGUAAAAGUUAAAGAUUGUUUGGCUCUCGCUCAAAAAUGGGUUCUUUGACAUGCAAACGUCUUGUUUUGGUUGUUGUUGCUCUGUUUAUGAGAACUGCAUGGCUGCCUUCCUUCUUUGGAUUUGUUGGGAUUGAACCGAGGAGCGUUGAAUUUAUCCAAACUCGAUAUUUGUCUGCGGAUUCUGAUUCUGGAAAUCGUAAAGAUAAGUUCUUGGAGGUUCCUCAAAUUGUAUGGGGACUAAAUGAUCAAAAGAUAGCAUUUGCAAGGGCAUGUUUGACCGCUAGAUUGCUAAACCGUACUCGCACGAUUCAUUGUACAGCAAGUAUGAAAACGUGGUAUGUUUCUUUCUAUCAUUUGACUUUCGUCAUGCCACCAUUGCUGGAAUCAUCGCGCUAUGACAGAGCUCUCGAGGAGCGAACACUCGCUUCUCUUUCAUUAGAGAGACUCACAAAAACUUCAGGUAUAUAUGAUAACACUUGAUCAUCUUCAUGAGUUUUGCUUUUGCUUCCAAUAAACCCAAAGAGUUAAUUGUAUUUCUUCUCUGCAGUCUCGGCAUGGGAUAAAGAGGUAAUUGGACCUCUUCAGAAUCAUGGUGAUGAGCUUAUUUCGGUCUUCACAGGAAAUUUGAAGCUUCAGUAAUUUCAAAAAUCUUCUAGCUUUCUCCUCCUUGUUAGUGCGCAUGGAUUACGCAUAUGUGUAUCAUAUAGUUCACUCUCCAAAGUUUUGUUAAUCUGUGUUUAGUUUCUGUAAAGCCUAAUCUCUAGUAGAAAAUAUCAUUUAUAUGUUACCAAGAUUUAAGAAUGUAUUUGGUUUGAUAUAUAAAAUUAUGUGCUCGUAGUUGCUCUUUUUUUUUUUUUUUUUGACAAAUAAGUACAAAUUUCAUUUCAUCUUAAAAGUUCAGAUUAGUAGAAAUUCAUUACCGAUUAGUUCAAUAUGUGUAUAAUUACAUAUAUUACAAUAAACAAAUUAACUGAGCUAUUGAAUGCUUAUCAGUAAAGCAUAUCUCCACUAAAGAUGCACACAAUAUAUUAUAGUAUAAUCAGGAAUAUUCCUAAACUUUUUUAAGAAUUUCCGCUUUUAUUAACAAGAUGAAAAUGAGUAGGAAAAACAAAGAUGGCAUAUAAAUCCAAAAAUUCUUAGGUUGAUUUGUUGGCGUUGUAUGUAUUUUAUUUUUGGAUCUAAUGUGCCAUCUUCUGCGGUCGCUCUAAACUCCCAUUCCUCGGCCAAUGACCAAAAACCAAUUGGCAUAUUGGUUCAGUAUACCACCUAUAAUUUGUAACAGAAUUAAGAAUUUGAUUAUUAACAUCUCUUUGGCCAAAUAGCUAAUUUUAUUGUUUUUGAUCAAUUAUCAAGCAUUACUUUUGGGGUAGAAUCCCAUGAGCCUCCAUUUUUUUAAGCAAAAUAAAAUAAUAAAAUCUGCAUUGUGAGUGUUGAAACGAAGUAUGCUUCUGAAAAAAAAUGAAGAGAUAAUUACCUAUAAUUUGUAACAGAGAUUAGCUUGAUUUUAGUCACGAACAGUAUAUAUACGCUAUUUGCAAAUUCAGGUAUCAAUGAAAUUUUUAGGCAAACUGCGUCGUUGCUAAACCGUGUCCUUUUAUGGCUAUCUAAAGCUGCAACGUAAAAUGGAAAAUCAGUCUGCAGAUAUACCAAUGAUCAGAAGGAAACAGAAUCCUAAGAUAGAGAGCCAAACACCCGGCAUGUAAUGUCAUUUAAACCACAAUAACAUAACAUCCUUUAAACCGCAGAGUUUAAUUUCAAACACAGACACACGAGCACAGGAAAGACAUCACAAACAUCAAAUACCAAGUCCAAUCGCUUCAUCCAUGAGUUGGUACAAACUUCAAAAGAGUAAGCAUGUUCAAUUGACAAAAGACUUGAAACUCAUUAGAUUCACGCACAAACUCCUUUAUUAGGUGCUUAAGAAAGGAGUAAACCUGUAUUGCAGCAAGAAGAGAGAGCCACGUUGCCUGCUUAAGCAAAAUGGACACUGUCAAGAGACUCUGAGCACUUCAGUAGAACAGUGACCUAUGGCUAUCUCUAACCCUACUGUACAGAGGGGGAAGAGAUGGAACAUGUUUUGGCCCUUCAAACAAAAUACAUAAUGUUUUCCAGGUCCGUGUGCAACUUGUAGAACCUCUCAUCAAAUGAAGCGUCCGAUGACAGCGAUGUCGAAGUCAAAGAUGAAGAUGAUGAUGAAACUGAAGCUGGAGAUUGUCCCUCCAUUACUGCCUCAUGGUACAAGCGCCCUCUGUACACAACAAGGUCAGCAUAGUACACAGGCGGUACCAAUGACACAGGCUUAGUACACCGAGCAAAGGUGAAGCACAUGUUAUAUAUAAGCUUCUGCAACUGAUCAGAAGUAAACCCGUGCUCAUCCCAUAAGACAUGGUAGUGAGUGGGCUUGCUUGUUCCAAGGCUUCCGUAGUGGCUACAAAGGUAAAAAUCAAACUCAAAAGGGUGCACAAUAUUUGUGUCCACAACUGUCCCUGGUGGCACAUUGCCACUGGAGGUUCCAUCCAUCCUACCCUUUGGAAAUAGACGAGUUUGAUGUCGCUUCUGGGCCACAAUAAGUGUGAUUCUUGGGUGGUAAUCCAUUGAUCUGAAUGCCAUCUUUAGUGGUACCAACUCUUCAUUGAGAACCAUAUCGAACUGGCC